GGAGAGGUGCCGGAGUGGUCGAACGGGCUCGCCUGGAAAGUGAGUGUACGGUUUACCCCGUACCGAGGGUUCGAAUCCCUCCCUCUCCGCCA
rnacentral:tRNA from 1 species